GACGAACGCUGGCGGCGUGCUUAACACAUGCAAGUCGAACGGUAAGGCCCCUUCGGGGGUACACGAGUGGCGAACGGGUGAGUAACACGUGAGCAACCUGCCCUUGACACUGGAAUAACAGUUGGAAACAGCUGCUAAUGCCGGAUAUGACCUUCGGUGACAUCACCUGGAGGUGGAAAGUGCUUAGCGGUCAAGGAUGGGCUCGCGGCCUAUCAGCUAGUUGGUGAGGUAACGGCUCACCAAGGCUUCGACGGGUAGCCGGCCUGAGAGGGCGACCGGCCACACUGGGACUGAGAUACGGCCCAGACUCCUACGGGAGGCAGCAGUGGGGAAUAUUGCACAAUGGGCGCAAGCCUGAUGCAGCAACGCCGCGUGCGGGAUGACGGCCUUCGGGUUGUAAACCGCUUUCAGUUCCGACGAAGCGCAAGUGACGGUAGGAACAGGAGAAGGACCGGCCAACUACGUGCCAGCCGCCGCCGUAACAC
rnacentral:rRNA from 1 species